CCGGCGCACGGGUGAGUAACGCGUGUGCAACCUGCCCGGCACAGUGGGAUAAUCCGGAGAAAUCCGGUCUAAUACCGCAUGACGCGGGAAGGGCGCAUGCCUUUUCCGCCAAAGGAGGCGACUCCGGUGCCGGCUGGGCACGCGUGACAUUAGCUAGUUGGCGGGGCGACGGCCCACCAAGGCGACGAUGUCUAGGGGUUCUGAGAGGAAGGUCCCCCACACUGGUACUGAGGCACGGACCAGACUCCUACGGGAGGCAGCAG
rnacentral:rRNA from 1 species